rnacentral:tRNA from 1 species
AGGCGGGUAGCUCAGUCGGGAGAGCGCAGCCCUUACAAGGCUGAGGUCACGGGUUCGAGUCCCGUCCCGCCUACCA